AACAAAGCUGCUGGUAAUAUGACAUACACACCUCAAAGAGCUGGAAAGGAGGUAGGAGGAAGCUGUUUGACUGGAGGAGGCAUCAAUUCUUCACUGUCCUCUUUCUGUUUGUCUUCAAUAAGAGGAAAGUGGCUGAAGAGAAAAAUAAGAAAAUAAUGAUAAUACGCUUCUAUUAAUACCAAGAACAUGUAGUGUUGUCUCAACACGACAGCAAAAUUUUCUGUGUUCUAGUAACGAGAAAGAUUGUAUAAUAUCAUUGAAUAUUUGACAGUACUCUCUUGGCAAGACUUUUUCAAGGUCACUUUUUAGUGUUAUUCUGGAUAUACAGUACUUAAGUAAUUAGACAUUAAAUUUCAAUUCUCAAAGAAAAAGUGUUUUUGACCUAAAAUUCCAUUUCAGCCAAAAUCUUGAUCUCACCGAUUAUAUUCAAAACCUCAAUAAAUGUACCCUUGAACACGCUGGGUAAUGGUCUGUUGUUCACAGUUUGAUAUCUGUAUAAUUACUUGUCCAAAUGACAUCUCAAAAUUUGUAAUCACUUUUCUAAUGCUAAUUACUCGCCACCUAUGAUUUUUCAGGUAAGGUCAUAGGAAGAGCAGAAGACGUGAAAUAUAUUAUUUUAUAUAUAUUGUGUAAGAUGCAUCUUAUUAAAAAAGUAAAAUUA